rnacentral:rRNA from 2 species
GGUAAUUGUAAUGGACGAAGUCUGAUGGAGCAUGCCGCGUGAGUGAAGAAGGGUUUCGGCUCGUAAAACUCUGUUGUUAAAGAAGAACACCUUUGAGAGUAACUGUUCAAGGGUUGACGGUAUUUAACCAGAAAGCCACGGCUAACUACGUGCCAGCAGCCGCGGUAAUACGUAGGUGGCAAGCGUUGUCCGGAUUUAUUGGGCGUAAAGCGAGCGCAGGCGGUUUUUUAAGUCUGAUGUGAAAGCCUUCGGCUUAACCGGAGAAGUGCAUCGGAAACUGGGAGACUUGAGUGCAGAAGAGGACAGUGGAACUCCAUGUGUAGCGGUGGAAUGCGUAGAUAUAUGGAAGAACACCAGUGGCGAAGGCGGCUGUCUAGUCUGUAACUGACGCUGAGGCUCGAAAGCAUGGGUAGCGAACAGGAUUAGAUACCCCGGGUAGUCCCA